rnacentral:rRNA from 1 species
ACGGAAGGCAGCAGUGGGGAAUAUUAGGCAAUGGGGGAACCCUGACCUAGCGACGCCGCGUGAAGGAUGAAGGUUUUCGGAUUGUAAACUUCUUUUAAGAGGGACGAUAAUGACGGUACCUCUUGAAUAAGCCACGGCUAACUACGUGCCAGCAGCCGCGGUAAUACGUAGGUGGCGAGCGUUGUCCGGAUUUACUGGGUGUAAAGGGCGAGUAGGCGGGCUAACAAGUCAGAUGUGAAAUACCGAGGCUCAACUUCGGGGCUGCAUUUGAAACUGUAAGUCUUGAGUGAUGGAGAGGCAGGCGGAAUUCCCAGUGUAGCGGUAAAAUGCGUAGAGAUUGGGAGGAACACCAGUGGCGAAGGCGGCCUGCUGGACAUUAACUGACGCUGAGGAGCGAAAGUGUGGGGAGCAAACAGGAUUAGAUACCCUGGUA